rnacentral:rRNA from 1 species
UACGUAGGGUGCGAGCGUUAAUCGGAAUUACUGGGCGUAAAGCGCGCGCAGGCGGUCUUCCAAGUCAGUGGUGAAAGCCCGGAGCUCAACUCCGGAACUGCCAUUGAAACUGUAAGACUUGAGGAUGAGAGAGGUGAGUGGAAUUCCCAGUGUAGAGGUGAAAUUCGUAGAUAUUGGGAAGAACACCGGUGGCGAAGGCGGCUCACUGGCUCAUAUCUGACGCUGAGGUGCGAAAGCGUGGGGAGCAAACAGG